rnacentral:rRNA from 1 species
AACGCGAAGAACCUUACCUACCCUUGACAUCCUCGGAAUCUGUCGGAGACGACGGAGUGCCUUCGGGAACCGAGUGACAGGUGCUGCAUGGCUGUCGUCAGCUCGUGUUGUGAAAUGUUGGGUUAAGUCCCGUAACGAGCGCAACCCUUGUCCCUAUUUGCCAGCGAUUCGGUCGGGAACUCUAGGGAGACUGCCGGUGACAAACCGGAGGAAGGUGGGGACGACGUCAAGUCAUCAUGGCCCUUACGGGUAGGGCUACACACGUGCUACAAUGGCCGGUACAAAGGGUUGCGAAGCCGCGAGGUGGAGCUAAUCCCGAAAAGCUGGCCUCAGUCCGGAUCGGAGUCUGCAACUCGACCCCAUGAAGUCGGAGUCGCUAGUAAUCGCAGAUCAGCAGGCUGCGCUGAAUACGUUCCCGGGCCUUGUACACACCG